UGGGGAAUAUUGCACAAUGGGCGCAAGCCUGAUGCAGCCAUGCCGCGUGUAUGAAGAAGGCCUUCGGGUUGUAAAGUACUUUCAGUCGGGAGGAAGGGAGUAAAGUUAAUACCUUUGCUCAUUGACGUUACCCGCAGAAGAAGCACCGGCUAACUCCGUGCCAGCAGCCGCGGUAAUACGGAGGGUGCAAGCGUUAAUCGGAAUUACUGGGCGUAAAGCGCACGCAGGCGGUUUGUUAAGUCAGAUGUGAAAUCCUCGGGCUCAACCUGGGAACUGCAUCUGAUACUGGCAAGCUUGAGUCUCGUAGAGGGGGGUAGAAUUCCAGGUGUAGCGGUGAAAUGCGUAGAGAUCUGGAGGAAUACCGGUGGCGAAGGCGGCCCCCUGGACGAAGACUGACGCUCAGGUGCGAAAGCGUGGGGAGCAAACAGG
rnacentral:rRNA from 1 species